rnacentral:lncRNA from 1 species
AUGUUUUAGAUUUAAUUUUGAUGAAUGUGUUUAGUUCUCUAGACCUUGUUCUUUUUAGUGGACGACAACUCCCUUCUGCUUCUCUAUGAGUAUGUCUUGCACUUAAAUUCUCGCCUUCCAUGUGUGAUGCCCGUAUGUUGAUAUGAUUAUCGAGAUGUGAGUGCUAAUAGAAGUACACAAAUUUGUAUUUGUUAGGAACUUGCCUCAAGAAAAGCCCCAACUAACCUACACAACUUAAUACUAUGGCCCUCAUCACAAAGAUAAAGAAA